UGUCGGCUCGUCUUAUCCUGGUGGUGGAGAAGCUACCAAGGGUUUGGCUGUUCGCCAAUUAAAAAGGCACGCGAGCUGGGUUCAGACCGUCAACGAAAAAACCCAUAAAAAGAAAUCGAGAACACACGGCGGCUUUCGCAAGUAAUUGCGAUCGAAAAACCGACUCAUAUCGGUGGAUUCCUUUCAUAGACUAACAACCUGUCAUAUGUUAGGAUAAUACCGAGGGAAGUCGUGUAUGAUUAAAUCACUUUCACCAACCAAGAAAGCCUAUAUUGCAGGAUUCCUCGAUGGCGACGGAAGUAUUUAUGUACGUGCGAAACCAAAUUCAACCUAUCGGUAUGGAUUUCAGAUUUCACCGUACAUUGUUCUCUUCCAGUCAGUAAAAAGUAAAGAGGAUUUCUCCAAAGUUACCAAAUUGAUAGGUAUAGGAUACAUGAGAGAGCGCAAAGAUGGAAUUCUUGAAUAUAUCAUCAAUCGAGUUGAAGGGAUUAAGGAAUUUCUAGAAGCAGUAGGCCCAUUUGUAAUCUUAAAGAAGAAGCAAGUGAUGCUUAUGCUCCAGAUUAUUUCCAAAAAAAGUAAGGUGGAAAAGGAAAGUGAUUUUAAGAUUCUUCUCGGAUUAGUUGAUUCUUAUCGAGAAUUAAAUUAUUCAAAAAGAAGGAUAAAUCGUACAUUGACCCCGUAGAGACUUGUUCCAAUAAAACGGGACAGAUUUAAUCAUGCUGAUUGAAUAACACGUCGGUCUCCUUCGUAGCUUUAUGCGAAGAAGGAUGGUGGUAUAGUCCAAUCCCAUCAGUAAUGAUGGAAAGAAGAAAAUGCGUGAGACAGGUUGGUCUCCUAUCUGCAGCAGGCGCUUGAUUCUUGAGGGGAGUCUUUCCUAGUGAAGAUUCGCUACUUUCCGAAGUAAUUCGGAUUGAAAAUUUGGCUUAUAACGGUGAAGCCUUCACACAUAUUCUGUUCAGUGGAUAAUUAGUUUGCCUUGGUCCGCAAAUUAGUUGAUAAUUGCUUGAGGACCAGAAUAUGUCGUAAGGUAAUACCGUGGGAAGUCAAUGAAAAUUCAAAAUUGAAAAAUCAAAAUGCAAAAUGACAAUGUAAAAUAAAAAAUUUUUUACAUUUUGAAUUGUAGUUUUUAUUUUUACACUUUACAUUUUGAAUUUUUGUUUGACCCCGUAACGACUGAAUUUCUCCGGUAACACCGGAGAAUGAAGAUGGCAGUGUAACUCUUUUCUUAUGGGACACUGGCUGCCAUAAUAUGCCGACUCCUUCGUCGCUUUACGCGAAAAAGGAUGAAGAUAUAGUCUGCUCUGUUAGAAAUAAUAGAAUACGUGACGAGAGGACCGGAAAGAACUGACCUCUGGUCUACCAGCUGUCCCGCCCGGGGCAACGCUGGGUAGCUAUGUCGGGAAUGGAUAACUGCUGAAAGCAUCUAAGCGGGAAGCCAACCCCAAGAUAAGGAAUCAUGGAUCCCUCGAAGACUACGAGGUUGAUAGGCUCUAGGUGUAAGCGCAGUAAUGCGUUCAGCCGAGGAGUACUAAUAGAUUCUACAGACACCAUU
rfam:Candidatus Ryanbacteria bacterium RIFCSPHIGHO2_01_FTLL_45_22 rifcsphigho2_01_scaffold_1153, whole genome shotgun sequence.